UACGUGAGUGAAAAUUAGAUGUUGUACUAAUCGUAACAUGAACACGCUUUUUGGAAUGAUCACCGACGAUAAUCCUAACGGUUGCGCUCUAUAGCAAAAUCAUGCACUUUGAACAACCCAAAACCAUGCGCUCGGAUUGUAUAUACAAAUACGACUCAAGGGUUGAAACCUAAAACACUGAUAAUGUUUGUAAAACUUGGGUCACAAAGAUCCAUUUCAGAAUAUAAAGAUUAAAUAAACCAGCUUAAAUUAACCAUCAUAUAUGAUGUACUUUUAAACUAUUCAAAGACUGUAGGAAAACUAAUCACCCUCAA
rnacentral:lncRNA from 1 species